rnacentral:rRNA from 1 species
UACGUAGGGUGCGAGCGUUGUCCGGAAUUAUUGGGCGUAAAGAGCUCGUAGGCGGCGCGGUAAGUCGGGUGUGAAAUCUCGGAGCUUAACUCCGAAACUGCAUUCGAUACUGCCGUGCUUGAGGACUGGAGAGGAGACUGGAAUUUACGGUGUAGCGGUGAAAUGCGUAGAUAUCGUAAGGAAGACCAGUGGCGAAGGCGGGUCUCUGGACAGUUCCUGACGCUGAGGCACGAAGGUCAGGGGAGCAAACGGG